rnacentral:lncRNA from 1 species
GCCAUUUUAAAUUUUUUUCAUUGGUUCUUUUUUAGCAUAAUGAAGUGACUUUGCAAAACUCUUUAAAGAUACGCAAAAUAAGGUAAAAUGCUGUUCUAUAUAAAAGUUGUUUAUAUCAAGCUGAACAAGCAUGUUUCCUUCUAUUUUAAAAUUAAAUCACAAUGAAUAUGCAAUGCUUCUGUGACGGAAAAUAAGAUUAAAUAUCAGUAACUCUGUUUAAAUAAGUUUUAACAACAGAUGCAGAAUUAAAGUAAGAUAACUUAUGAAUAAAUGUAUCGUACUAAGACAGAUAUAUUAACAUGCACUAAAUGUUUUUUCACCUUUUUGCAGGUUAUGAUCCUAAAGGGGAAACGACUCUUACCAGCUUGUAAAACACAGCACCAUUCAAAUAAUGUAGGGCGGGCUAACAAGAGUUAGUGUAUGAUGUCAUAGAUUAGUCUGUGUCUGGUUUAUAUGUAAAGUAGCAAGGAACUUUACCUGUUUCAUACUUGACAGAACACACAUUGUACAAAUAAAUUCUAUAUAUAAAUUAAAACGGAUGUUAGAAUCAUCGAUCAGUAUUAUAUAGAAUAAAAACAUACAGAAACAAC